rnacentral:rRNA from 1 species
GACGAACGCUGGCGGCGUGCUUAACACAUGCAAGUCGAACGGAAAGGCCCUGCUUUUGUGGGGUGCUCGAGUGGCGAACGGGUGAGUAACACGUGAGUAACCUGCCCUUGACUUUGGGAUAACUUCAGGAAACUGGGGCUAAUACCGGAUAGGAGCUCCUGCUGCAUGGUGGGGGUUGGAAAGUUUCGGCGGUUGGGGAUGGACUCGCGGCUUAUCAGCUUGUUGGUGGGGUAGUGGCUUACCAAGGCUUUGACGGGUAGCCGGCCUGAGGGGGUGACCGGCCACAUGGGGAGUGAGACACGGCCCAGACUCCUACGGGGGGGAGGAGGGGGGAAUAUGGCACAAGGGGGGGAAGCCUGAGGCAGAAACGCCGGGGGGGGGAAGGCGGCCUUCGGGUUGUAAACCGCUUUCGCCUGGGAGGAAGGGGGGGUGACGGAAAUGGGUAAAGAAGCAGCGGCUAACUACGU